rnacentral:rRNA from 1 species
UACGUAGAGUGCAAGCGUUAAUCGGAAUUACUGGGCGUAAAGCGUGCGCAGGCGGUUUUGUAAGUCUGUCGUGAAAGCCCCGGGCUCAACCUGGGAAUUGCGAUGGAGACUGCAAGGCUUGAAUCUGGCAGAGGGGGGUAGAAUUCCACGUGUAGCAGUGAAAUGCGUAGAGAUGAUGGAGGAACACCGAUGGCGAAGGCAGCCCCCUGGGUCAAGAUUGACGCUCAUGCACGAAAGCGUGGGGAGCAAACAGG